UCAUUUUCGAAGAUGCAUAUAAAGAGGGCCGUGACCCGCGUAACUUCCCUUUAAACGGGAGAUACAGAUCGGUGAAGCGCACUGCGCACGUCUCUCUCUAACGCCCUGUUGCUCUCUUUCUCUCUCUAACGGGAGGGACAGCAAAAGUGUUCAUUCUCGUGCUCUCGCUCUCUCUCUCUCUCGCUUUUCUCUUUAUUCCCCUUGACGAUGUUCUCUCUCCUCUGCAACCGCUGAGAAGGUGCUUAAAAAAACGCUCUCGCUUUCCCGCAUGAAACCCGAC
rnacentral:lncRNA from 1 species